GGAUGGGAGAACGAUCUGGCUGCGAUAUCUGUCAUCAACGUCAGGGUUGAUUCCGCUGAUCUGGCUGCUAGGCGGGCGUCCCCUUCCUCCCUCUCCGCUCCAUGUGCAUCCCUCCAGAAGCUGCGCACUUGAUGAAAGAGGAUGGCCUUCCCCGAAUAGAGAUGGACCCGGUUUCCAUCAAGGGUAUACGAGUAGCUGCGCUCCCCUCCUAGGACCUCCAAACAAGCUCUCUCUCCAUGCUUCUAUAUGAAUUUGAACUCAAGGUCUGUCUUACACAAAAAGAAGUGAUUAAUCU
rnacentral:snRNA from 1 species